rnacentral:rRNA from 1 species
UACGUAGGGUGCAAGCGUUGUCCGGAAUUAUUGGGCGUAAAGAGCUCGUAGGCGGUUUGUCGCGUCUGCUGUGAAAUCUCCGGGCUUAACUCGGAAAGGUCAACUGAUACUGUGCGACUAGAGUGCGGAAGGGGCAACUGGAAUUCUUGGUGUAGCGGUGAAAUGCGUAGAUAUCAAGAGGAACACCUGCGGCGAAGGCGGGUUGCUGGGCCGACACUGACGCUGAGGCGCGAAAGCCAGGGGAGCGAACGGG